UUAUGCAUCUCUAACAUAAUAGAAUAAAAAAAACUAUUAGUUAAUUUAUAGUUUUACAUAAUAUAAAUUUAUUGUCAUUUCGGUUUCUAUUGCACCGCCAAGUUAUUGUUCCAAACAUGUCACCGGGCUACAAGAAAAGCCACAGAGUCGACCUCAAAACGCAAAUCGGGUGACGAUCCUGGGACAUUUCACAUCGUGGCCUAUUGCUUCGUCGAUGUACGAAAACGGCGAGUUUUGGUGUAGUGUUGGAUCAGCGCCGGUGAGAUCAGAGGGGCAUUUCUGAUCGUCUAGUCCAAAGAUGGAUGGCAAGCCAACACCAUCGCCAUUGUCAAGUGUUUUAUUGCUUCCAGAUGUUGGACUGGACGACUUCCCAGUAGAAGCAUCCAUACCGAGAAGGUAAUAGAGGAGAGCAGCUUCGAUCGGGAAGUACGCAUCCCCCAUUUGUUCUUGGAACUCUUAAUUAUGCUUAUUUUUAUAUUCAUUAUUAUGCUAGUAAUUUUGACUGUGAUUUUAUUCUAUUUAUUUGUUGUGCAAGUAUUUUGAGUCGGCUGCUCGUGUUGAUGGCAUUCAUCUUGAGGUCUGAAAGGACAAUUGAUUCCCUUCCACUUUCCUUUCCGUAGUUAUGUCUGGCUUUUUUUAAUUGCAAUUCUGAAUAAUAGAACGACGGAUUUUCUAAUAUCAUCUCUCCAAUCCUGCAAACAAGUAGUUGGAGAAGGAGUUUGUGGCGAGAGAACAGGUUUGGAGAAAGGUUGGACCAAAAUGAUUAGAGAGAGAUGUCUUUAGCCGUGAAUAGAACUGUUUGUCGGUUGAUGAACCUGUAUAGGGUUUAGCAGGGUGAUGGAGGGAGACUUUCUGGAAGUGGUAUGGUUGUUGGGAUGAUUCUGCUGGAUAAGAGGGAUAGAGUUUCAGGUGAUGAAGAACCUGAAUGUGUCCGGAAAGGGGCUUUUUCUUCUUGUUAGUGUGAAAACUUGGAGAGUUCUAGACAUGUGGAACCACAAUCACUAAUGUGGAAGAUGAUUUCUUGUUUUUGAUAGGGUGGAAACUCUAUCUGUAUAUUAGUGAGGCCUUAGAGAUUAGAUUACAUGAUCAUGUGACACAAAGGUAUAGGUGACUUCUUUACUUGGCCAGAUAAUCUAAAGGUAAUGAAGUUCUCAGAGGUAACAAAUGCUAUAGAGUUGUUUGAAUGUGCUGCUGGGAGCUACGGGGUAUUACAUAUAUUUAUCAUGUUUUGUGUUUGCUUUACUUAGAGAUCUUUUCUGUCUGCUCUUUGGCGUGCAUGGUCAUCACACUUGGUGAAGAAGUCUGCAAUCUGAAGGUAUUGCUCAUUUGAGUUGAAAAUUCACAUGCUCUCUAAAUGAGGUCAGUCAAAAUGCAAGUUGCUUGAAGAGGCUGGAACAAGGCACCCUGAAAAGCAUGUUUUGUUUUUGCUUUCACUAGAGAUAUUUUCUGUCUGCUCUUUGGCGUGCAUGAUUAUCACACUUGGGGCAGAAAUCUGCAAUCUGAAGGUAUUGCUCAUUUGAGUUGAAAAUCCACAUGCUCUCUAAAUAAGGCCAGUCACAUGCUCUCAACUCUAGCCUGUUUUUUUGCGGACUGCUCCAAUCCUUAAUGUGAUUGGUUUUAUAUCACGGUAGUUGAAGCACUGGUUUGGCUUUAUACAGGUGAUAAUUGUUUUUUUUUUCUUUUAUGGAUAUCAAUGUCAAUGUGAAUAAUUAUUGCUUGUACCAUCCGAAAAGCCAUAUUAAUAACCUUUCUGUUUAGUGAGGGGUAGUGGCAGGUUCCAUUACAUCAGUUUCCUAACCCUUCAUGGAAUUGAUAUGGAGGGGCAUUAUGAUUGUCAAACCUAAAAUCUGGCUCUCUCAUUGCCACAAUCUUUUGACCAACUUUUUGCUUAGAAAACCUAGAUCGGCAGAAAUUAUUAGCUUGAGUAGAAAAAUACAGAUGUUGCAUCAAAUUAUGUUUGAAUGUAAUAAUUAUAUAUCUCACAAUAAAUAACAAGAUACUGAAUCCUGAAUAGAUGCACCUGGCUGGCCUGUGAGAACCAACUUUUGAUGUUAAACGGCUCCAGCUACAUUACAAGGACUGUUAAAGGCUAACCAAACUAGACCCAUAAUCUAUGUACCUCUGCAUACCCACCAUUAAUUAUUGCAGAGAAAACAAUUAUUGAGCUUCAGCCAUAUGCCAAAAUUGACUGCAUUUCAUCUACAUCUGCACUGGGCAUGUACAUUCGCAUUUAUGUAGAAGUAGCAUUUGAAAUUUCCCGCUUGAAGAUUGCCGUAACUGCAUAUUGCUAUAACUAGCACAGAAUUUUGGGACUGGUUGGUUAUUGCCUGGAUGUUUUCCAUCUUCGUUUUUUUUUUUUUUAUUUAGAUUUUUUCAGUUUCAGAAAUAAUAAAGACUUUAGAAUGGGCAUUGUUUCGCUAUAACGAUCCUAUUUUUGCAAAAUCAGAGCAAGCAUUUCUGUGUUUUAUCUUUUUAAAAUUGGGGCGUUCUAAUAUAAAAUUUAGGUAAAGUACACUUAGAUCCCUAUGGUUUGAGCUAUUCUUAUAGUAUUCCAAGUGCAAAAUCACAGUGCAAGCAUAUGGAUCGUUAUAGCGAAGGGAUUGUUUACAAAAUCAUAUGGACUUGAAAUAUUAAAAAUAAACCAGAGGUGUCUGUAAAUUUUUUUUUUUUACAGGGAUUUCGGUUGAAUUUUUUUUUUUUUUUCCUGUAAAUGGUUGAAAUUUAUCCAAUAUGUUACUAAAACAAUGUCUGCAACUAAAAAUAGUUUUCUCAAAUGGAACAAAGAGGGCUCAGAGGGAAAAUAUUUACUUUUUUAAUCUUAUUUGGAGUUGUUUUCGAGCGCGUGUAUAUAUAUAUGUAUGUAUGUAUAUACAUAUUUGUCAGGUAAAUUAUUGAUUUGGGUUGGUGAAUACUGAAUAGAAGAUGCCUCUACUGUACUCAAAGACUGACACGGGUUGCCCCCCCAUGAAUUGUGCAUUGGCUGCAUGCUAUUACUUGUACAUAAACCAAUUCUUCUCUGAUCAAAUUCCUCUCCCUUACCUUCUCUUCUCUAUUGAAAUUGGCUUUUCUUCCUCUCUAAACUGUGCCACUGACAAAUGUCUCAUGGAGUGGCAGCCGAUAUGCCUUACUUGCUAAGACUGUACCUGGCUGCUGUAUAUGAUUCUCAACUCUAGAGUUUCAAUAAUAUAUAUACAUAUAAUACAUACAUAUACAUAUAUAUAUAUGUAUUCCUAUUCCUCUAAUAUUUCCUUCCAUUUUUCGUCUGGCUAGAAAGGUUCCAUACGUCCACACAACUUUCGUAGGGGGCUUAGUAAAUUACAUGGUUUUGGAAAAUUCUAAAAGUGAGUGAUAAAUAUAGUGUCAAGUCACUUGUCUAGUGAUACUUGGAAGAAGGAUGUUUUGACCAAAAAUAAAAAUGCAUAUUUUGUUUACAUGCAUUACAAAUAUAAUAUAAUAUUAUUUAUCUCCCAACUAUGCUUGUGGGUUGAGUAUUCAUCUUAGUACUUCUAGGGUCAAGGGUAUUCUUUUUUAUCAUAGAUUUAAUUGCGUUAAGUAAUUAUUGUCAAUUAGCAUAAAAAUUAUUAAAUCUUUCGACAUGAAUUGUAAACAAACAUUACCAGAGAGCUAGAAUUUUAUAUUGAUCCCAUUCACUAGAUCAGAUUAAGGCUUGUGACGACGGUAAUGAUAUUUGUUUAUUUUAUUUUUAGGUAAUUUAUUUUUAUUUAAAAAAAAUUCCAAAAAAGAUGAGAUCAAUCAUAAACUUUGUAAAAUAUUUUAUAUGACAACUAGACUUUGAAACAAUCUAUUUUAUGUAUGGUCUGGGGAAAUAUUAAGUUUUAAAUAUAGGUAAAUAGAUCGAAAAGCUCUUGAAUUCUGAUUAUUUGGUUUGAAUAUUAUUUGAAUUUUUGAAAUUUACUUACUCAUGAGUUCAUCAACUUUUCAAAAUUAACAAUGAUAUCUGGUGAGAACUAGUCUUAGACCCUUCUUAACCUUUGGCUCUUUAGGGGUGUAGUGAUUAAUUUUAAAGCUUAGAAUGUGUCUGUUCAUGACCAAAUUCUGGAUCUAUAAUCAAUUUACUUUUAAAAUAUUAUAUGUGAAAUGUCACUUCAUGUAAUUUUUUAUUUUGUUCUUACCUAAAAUGUUUUGUGUGAAAAACUAAAUAAUAAAAUUCUUUGAGCAAAUCCUUUCUUAGACUUUGGCUAAAAAAUAUUUGGGCUAAUUUAGAAAGAAACCUAAUCCUUAAUUUAUAAUUUUAUCUAAUUAAUUCUUUUAAUUUUGUUAAUUAAGUUUAAAUUAGCUCAAUUGGGUGUAAUUUUAUUAAAAUUAAUUUAGAAAAAAUAUAUUCAUAUUGAUUUGACAUAUAUUUACACAUAAAAUAAAUAGAUUAUGUGUAAUAAGUUAUAUAUAUAUAUUUUAUUUAUGCGUAUAUGUAAGUUUCACAAAUAUUACUAUUAUAGAACAUUGGAUAUACUAAGUUAAUUUCCUCUAAAUCAAUUUUACAUCUUGAAUAAAAUUGUAUUCAAUUGAGUAAUUUAAUUAUCAAAAUUGAAUAAAAUUGUAAAUUCAUGAAAAUAAUUUGAUUAGUCGGUCAAAAUAUUUUUCUUAUGAUUUGCAAUUUAAAUGCCCAAAAUAACGACAAUUUUUUUUUUUU